rnacentral:rRNA from 1 species
UACGUAGGGUGAGAGCGUUGUCCGGAAUUAUUGGGCGUAAAGAGCUUGUAGGCGGUCUGUCGCGUCUGCUGUGAAAAUCCGGGGCUCAACCCCGGACUUGCAGUGGGUACGGGCAGACUAGAGUGUGGUAGGGGAGACUGGAAUUCCUGGUGUAGCGGUGGAAUGCGCAGAUAUCAGGAGGAACACCAAUGGCGAAGGCAGAUCUCUGGGCCGUAACUGACGCUGAGACGCGAAAGCGUGGGGAGCGAACAGG